rnacentral:hammerhead_ribozyme from 1 species
AUCCAUCUGACGAGUCCCGCAUAGGACGAAAUGCGCGUCCUGGAU